rnacentral:rRNA from 1 species
CAGUCGCCGCGGUAAUACGGAGGGGGCUAGCGUUGUUCGGAAUUACUGGGCGUAAAGCGCACGUAGGCGGCUUGGUAAGUUAGAGGUGAAAGCCCGGAGCUCAACUCCGGAAUUGCCUUUAAGACUGCCGAGCUAGUAGGUGAGAGAGGUAAGUGGAAUUCCGAGUGUAGAGGUGAAAUUCGUAGAUAUUCGGAAGAACACCAGUGGCGAAGGCGGCUUACUGGCUCAUUCCAGACGCUGAGGUGCGAAAGCGUGGGGAGCAAACAGGAUUAGAUACCCCGGUAGUCCCUGUCUCUUAUAC